UACGGGGGGGGGCAAGCGUUGUUCGGAAUUACUGGGCGUAAAGGGCUCGUAGGCGGCCAACUAAGUCAGACGUGAAAUCCCUCGGCUUAACCGGGGAACUGCGUCUGAUACUGGAUGGCUUGAGGUUGGGGAGAGGGAUGCGGAAUUCCAGGUGUAGCGGUGAAAUGCGCAGAUAUCAGGAGGAACACCAAUGGCGAAGGCAGCUCGCUGGGACGUGACUGACGCUGAGACGCGAAAGCGUGGGGAGCAAACAGG
rnacentral:rRNA from 1 species